rnacentral:rRNA from 1 species
AUCGAACGCUGGCGGCAUGCUUUACACAUGCAAGUCGAACGGUAACAGGCCGCAAGGUGCUGACGAGUGGCGAACGGGUGAGUAAUGCAUCGGAACGUGCCCAGUCGUGGGGGAUAACGCAGCGAAAGCUGUGCUAAUACCGCAUACGAUCUAUGGAUGAAAGCGGGGGACCGUAGGGCCUCGCGCGAUUGGAGCGGCCGAUGUCAGAUUAGGUAGUUGGUGGGGUAAAGGCUCACCAAGCCAACGAUCUGUAGCUGGUCUGAGAGGACGACCAGCCACACUGGGACUGAGACACGGCCCAGACUCCUACGGGAGGCAGCAGUGGGGAAUUUUGGACAAUGGGCGCAAGCCUGAUCCAGCAAUGCCGCGUGCAGGAAGAAGGCCUUCGGGUUGUAAACUGCUUUUGUACGGAACGAAAAGGUUUGGGUUAAUACCCUGGGCCGAUGACGGUACCGUAAGAAUAAGCACCGACUAACUACGUGCCAGCCGCCGCAGUAA